rnacentral:rRNA from 1 species
UUAACAUUAAGUAUAAACGCCAGUUUGACUCAGUCACGGUAAACAGAGCCGGCAAAUAUGGUGCCAGCCGCCGCGGUUACACCAUCAAGACUCAAAUUGAUAUUCACAGGCGUAAAGCGUGAUUAAAGCACACCUUAAGCUUAGGGCGAAACUUAAACUAAGCUGUAACACGCCUGUCAUUAAGAAGCCCAAAUAACGAAAGCUGCCCUAAUUAAAUCCACUUGAAUUCACGACAACUAGAACACAAACUGGGAUUAGAUACCCCACUAUGUCUAGUCGUAAACUUUAACUUACAUCCCCAUUCGCCAGGGUACUACGAGCUAAAGCUUAAAACCCAAAGGACUUGACGGUGUUUCAUAUCCAACUAGAGGAGCCUGUCCUAUAAUUGAUAACCCCCGCUUAACCUCACCACCCCUAGCCAAUCAGCUUGUAUACUUCCGUCGUCAGCUUACCACGUGAGCGAACUUCAGUAAGCAUAACGGCCUCGCCAAUACGUCAGGUCAAAGUGCAGCAUAUGGGGCGGGAAGAGAUGGGCUACACUCUCUAAUGUAGAAUAAACGAAAGGCCUAAAUGAAAUUUAGGCCUGAAGGCGGAUUUAGCAGUAAAAAGAAAAUAGAGUGUUCUUUUUAACUAGGCACUGGAACGUGUACACACCGCCCGUCACCCUCUUCAAACACAUACCUCCCUGUAUUUAACCCUUAUCCCUAUUAAAGAAGAGGCAAGUCGUAACAUGGUAAGUGUACCGGAAGGUGUGCUUGGAAACGAAAUAUAGCUUAACCAA